rnacentral:tRNA from 1 species
AGCCCGGUCGUUCAAUUGGUAGGACAGCGGGUUUUGGUCUCGUCGAUCGGGGUUCGAGUCCCUGCCGGGCUGCCA